rnacentral:misc_RNA from 1 species
UUCAGCUAUUCAUUUCUUCACUCAGACAACAGUUUAACAUGAUUUUAAGUGGGCUUUUGGCGGACGCACGCAUGCCAGCUGAGAGGAUAUUAAAUCCCCCAGGGGCCAGCGGCAUCCCAUAGGGUGCGGCCCGCCAAAGCAACAAGGGUAGAUUAAACAUGGGAUGGGAGGCUCGGGCCGGUGAAGACCCUAAGUCGUUUAAUGAUCCUUCCGCAGGUUCACCUACGGAAA